UUAACGACCUCAUGAAGCUAAAAUAAGUGACAACGUAUUUUUUCAGUUUUUCUAAUAAUAUCACCUAACGUCACCGUGGUUUCUGGUUUUGUUAGCGUUAGCUGACGCUCGUCAGUUAGCUAGCUAGCUAGCAGCGAUGGAAAGAAGAGACAACCAACAAACAAACCAACAAAUAAACUAUAAAUGCAACAAGUGCAGUAGGACAUAAUGGCAGUCAUAAUUCACCUCCAUGAAAGAAAGUAGCUAGUUGAGACUUCAGCGACAAAUAAGGUGGUCAUGUGCCGGACUGUCUCUUGGAUAGGAGCCGUUGCCAGGCAACCAACUGACACCAACAGAAGAUGCUGCUCCAGAAACAAACAAGGAGCUCAAACAGCGGGAGAAGGAUUCAGAGCUCUGCUGGCAAUGUGAGCAGAGCAGAAAUGCUGCUGAGGAAAAAAAGCAGGCAGAAGUCAGACAACCUCCCUACUCUCACCGUCAGCGCACAUGACCUUGGGGCCAGAGCGAGCUAGUGAGCAAGCGGGCGGAGGGCCCGCCCAGCAUGCUUUGGUUCAUACACAGAGGAAUUUGGAAAGCAGAGUGGAGUGCGGGUCUGCGAGCCCUAGCCCUUUUCUUAAGUGAGUGCAAAUUAACUGAAAUAAAACUUUUAAAGGUCAA